AUUGAACGCUGGCGGCAUGCCUUACACAUGCAAGUCGAACGGUAACAGGUCUUCGGAUGCUGACGAGUGGCGAACGGGUGAGUAAUACAUCGGAACGUGCCCGAUCGUGGGGGAUAACGAGGCGAAAGCUUUGCUAAUACCGCAUACGAUCUACGGAUGAAAGCGGGGGAUCUUCGGACCUCGCGCGGACGGAGCGGCCGAUGGCAGAUUAGGUAGUUGGUGGGAUAAAAGCUUACCAAGCCGACGAUCUGUAGCUGGUCUGAGAGGAUGAUCAGCCACACUGGGACUGAGACACGGCCCAGACUCCUACGGGAGGCAGCAGUGGGGAAUUUUGGACAAUGGGCGAAAGCCUGAUCCAGCCAUGCCGCGUGCAGGAUGAAGGCCUUCGGGUUGUAAACUGCUUUUGUACGGAACGAAAAGCCUCUUUCUAAUAAAGAGGGGUCAUGACGGUACCGUAAGAAUAAGCACCGGCUAGCUACGUG
rnacentral:rRNA from 1 species